AACGAACGCUGGCGGCAUGCCUAACACAUGCAAGUCGAACGAAGGCUUCGGCCUUAGUGGCGCACGGGUGAGUAACGCGUGGGAAACUGCCUAUUGGUGGGGAAUAACGACGGGAAACUGUCGCUAAUACCGCAUAAGCCCUUCGGGGGAAAGAUUUAUCGCCGAUAGAUGUGCCCGCGUCCGAUUAGCUAGUUGGUGAGGUAAUGGCUCACCAAGGCGACGAUCGGUAGCUGGUCGGAGAGGAUGAUCAGCCACACUGGGACUGAGACGCGGCCCAGACUCCUACGGGAGGCAGCAGUGGGGAAUAUUGGACAAUGGGCGAAAGCCUGAUCCAGCAAUGCCGCGUGAGUGAUGAAGGCCUUAGGGUUGUAAAGCUCUUUCGGGUGGGACGAUGAUGACGGUACCACCAGAAGAAGCCCCGGCUAACUUCGUGCCAGCAGCCGCCGUAA
rnacentral:rRNA from 1 species